UACAUUUUAGUGUAAGAUGCACAAAAGUUUUUGAUUCUUUUAGGUUUAGUUUAAUUCUAAAAAAUGUAU
rnacentral:tRNA from 1 species